rnacentral:tRNA from 1 species
GCCGGAGUGGUGAAACUGGUAGACACGCACGUUUCAGGGGCGUGUGGCCGCGAGGCCGUGCGGGUUCGAAUCCCGCCUCCGGCA